rnacentral:rRNA from 1 species
UACGGAGGGGGCGAGCGUUGUCCGAAUUUAUUGGGCGUAAAGCGCGUGUAGGCGGAUUUUUAAGCCUGAGGUGAAAGGUUGGGGCUCAACCCCAUACAGUGCCUUGGGGACUGGGAGUCUGGAGGCAGGCAGAGGAGUGUGGAAUUCCUGGUGUAGCGGUGGAAUGCGUAGAUAUCAGGAAGAACACCCAUGGCGAAGGCAGCACUCUGGGCCUGUACUGACGCUGAGACGCGAAAGCGCGGGGAGCGAACAGGAUUAGAAACCCGAGUAGUCC